GCUCCAGUUCCCAAGAAGUUCCUCAUCUCCAUUUGAGACCACCUCAGCCUGGACUACAUUGUCCACCAAGAUCAAGGAAAAAGGAACAUAAUUUUGGAUUGGGCUGAAUGUAUUGAUAUGAGAACAUUUGUCUUGAGGUAUAUGCUGGACACAGAUAUUAAGGAACUGCACAUCCUUCUCAAACUAGGGUAUAAUUCUGGGACUAGUAAAUAAAAAGCAUUGCAUAUAUAAGAAAUUAUGAUACAUCUUCUAAGGAAUUAGUAGUUGACAGCAAUUUACAUUUUACAUGAAAAUUAGUCACAUUUUAAAUUAGACAGCCA
rnacentral:lncRNA from 1 species